CCUACCAAGGCUGUGAUCGGUAGCCGGCCUGAGAGGGCACACGGCCACACUGGCACUGAAACACGGGCCAGACUCCUACGGGAGGCAGCAGUGGGGAAUCUUGCACAAUGGGGGCAACCCUGAUGCAGCGACGCCGCGUGAGCGAUGAAGCCCUUCGGGGUGUAAAGCUCUUUCGGCAGGGAAGAUUAUGACGGUACCUGCAGAAGCAGCUGCGGCUAACUACGUGCCAGCAGCCGCGGUAAUACGUAGGCAGCAAGCGUUGUUCGGAGUUACUGGGCGUAAAGGGUGCGCAGGCGGUUCUGUAGGUAUGGUGUGAAAUCUCCCGGCUUAACUGGGAGGGUGCGCUAUAAACUGCGGGACUAGAGUGUGGGAGAGGAAAGUGGAAUUCCUGGUGUAGCGGUGAAAUGCGUAGAUAUCAGGAGGAACACCGGUGGUGUAAACGGCUUUCUGGACCAUAACUGACGCUGAGGCACGAAAGCGUGGGUAGCAAACAGGAUUAGAUACCCUGGUAGUCCACGCCCUAAACGAUGCAUAUUUGGUGUGGGUCAUUCAGUUGAUCCGUGCCGGAGCUAACGCGUUAAAUAUGCCGCCUGGGGAGUACAGUCGCAAGGCUGAAACUCAAAGGAAUGACGAAGCG
rnacentral:rRNA from 1 species